UCCAUCUUAUCUUAUGUAUUAUUAUUCUACAAAAUUAUCCCUAUAAGUAAUUCAACACUUAAAAAGAUAUAGGGUGUCAAAAAAUCAUUUUUCAUUUUUCUAAGCAUAGACUAGGUUUUGUGCCUUUAAUCCACAAUGCAAACUGCCAGAACCAACUGACUUCUCCGCAAUUAAAUGCUUGUGACUCUGCAUCUUCUCAUGACCGUUGCCCUUUUCCAUUUCCAAAGUAUUUCUCUCUCCACCACUCUCCUUACCC
rnacentral:lncRNA from 1 species